rnacentral:rRNA from 1 species
AGAGUUUGAUCCUGGCUCAGCGCGAACGCUGGCGGUACGCUUUAUACAUGCAAGUCGAGCGAGGACUAGUAGCUUGCUACUAGAGCCGAGCGGCGAACGGGUGAGUAAUGCAUAAGAAACCUGCCCAUGAGACUGGGAUAGCCAUCCUAACGGAUGAUUAAUACCGGAUAGUAAUAGAGAGAGGCAUCUUUUUCUAUUUAAAUGCUUUAGUGCUCAUGGAUGGUCUUAUGUGACAUCAGCUAGUUGGUGAGGUAAUGGCUCACCAAGGCAAUGACGUCUAGCCGACCUGAGAGGGUGAUCGGCCACAUCGGGACUGAGAUACGGCCCGGACUCCUACGGGAGGCAGCAGUAGGGAAUUUUGCGCAAUGGAGGAAACUCUGACGCUGCGAUACCGUGUGUAGGAAGACGCCCUGCGGGGUGUAAACUACUGUCACUAGGGAAGAAUACAAUGACGGUACCUAGAGAGGAAGCACCGGCUAACUCCGUGCCAGCAGCCUUGGUAAUACGGAGGGUGCAAGCGUUGCGCGGAAUUACUGGGCGUUAAGGGUCCGUAGGCUGUUUGUUAAGUCAGUUUUUUUAAGACAAUGGCUCAACCAUUGGAAAGGAAUUGAUACUGGCAGACUAGAGCGCGAGAGGGGAAAGUGGAAUUCCAGGAGUAGCGGUGAAAUGUGUAGAUACCUGGAGGAACGCCAAAGGUGAAGACAACUUUCUGGCUCGUAGCUGACGCUGAGGGACGAAAGCGUGGGGAGCAAAUAGGAUUAGAUACCCUAGUAGUCCACGCCGUAAACGAUGAAUGCUAGGCAUUGGUUUUGUAAUAUUAAUCAGUGCCGCAGCUUACGCAUUAAGCAUUCCGCCUGGGGAGUACGUUCGCAAGAAUGAAACUCAAAGGAAUUGGCGGGGGCCCGCACAAGCGGUGGAUUAUGUGGUUUAAUUCGAUUCAAACCGAAAAACCUUACCAGGACUUGACAUACCCAUCGUAUUUUAUGGAAACAUAGAAGUCAUUUAGUCGGAUGGUGUACAGGUGUUGCAUGGCUGUCGUCAGCUCGUGCCGUGAGGUGUUCGGUUUAGUCCGGCAACGAGCGCAACCCUUGUCGUUAGUUACCAUCAGGUUAUGCUGGGGACUCUAGCGAAACUGCCCGGGUAACCGGGAGGAAGGAGAGGAUGACGUCAAGUCAGCAUGGCCCUUAUGUCCUGGGCUACACACGUAAUACAAUGAUAUGUACAAAGUGCCGCGAUACCGCGAGGUGGAGCAAAUCACAAAAAGCAUGUCUCAGUGCGGAUUGCAGUCUGCAACUCGACUGCAUGAAGUUGGAAUCGCUAGUAAUCGUAGAUCAGCAAGCUACGGUGAAUACGUGCCCGGGCCUUGCACACACCGCCCGUCAAGUCACCCGAGUCGGGGGCAUCCGAAGUGGCCGUCCUAACUGCUUGCAGAGGGAAGUCACAACGAUGAACUUGGUAAGGGGGACUAAGUCGGAACAAGGUA